UGCCAACAGCCAACAGCACGAGGAAAAAACCGUUAAAAGUUUUCUCCUACUGGUACCGGUCACAUGUCCCCAGUCAGAGCUCAAGAAUCUUUGUUGAAAUUUCGUAAAAUUUUUAAAUUUUUCUACUUCAAAAUUGUUUUCUUCAUGCGUCAACACGUUCAUUUCCAACACAACGGUAUUUGGAGACUGCUUCCAAUUUAUCUAGCAGCUAGCCGGGAUUCGUUACAUUUUUCCAUCAAAUUAGCAGUACUGACUACAGAGGGUCUGACCAACCCAAAACACAGAAGAACAUGGGUUCUAAAAAGAAAGCUGAGGAAUAUACCAUCACACCAGAUUGCGAGGAACAUUGUAAUCCCCCUAAGAAAAGAAAGACGGUGUCUCUUCUG
rnacentral:misc_RNA from 1 species